AGAAAGGAUGACAUAGGUUGUUAUUGAAGGAAGGAAAACAUUUUUUCCUGCAUGAUUAUGUGUUGCAGGCAGGCUCCAUUUCUUGGACUUUCUUUAAAGAGUCAGAGAGGAAGAUGACGGGUUCAUGUAUCAGAAGGGUUGCCUUUUGGUGUCUGCUCAACGAGAUUUCGCAGCAAUGCUUUGUUAUCCUUGAUCUGUUGAUCAAAAAGCAGCACUGAGCCAAAUCUCAAAGCAACCAUAUACAUUGAAGGGUGUCAUCCAUGGAAAAUCUAGGGCUACAUCUUUUUACAGUUUGAACACAACCAAGCAAGUGAUCAAAACUCAAAUCUAGAGUGCACUACAUCUGGUCGACGGUCAUGGUAAGGAUUUUAUUGAUUAAGAACAAAGUGUAAGAUUGCCAUUGGCAUUGUAAGGUAGACCUUGUAUUUGUUAUCUCUGUUGCCUCCUGGAUCCUCUACCGCCAAGGAUUAGAACUGGACAUUACCUGUUAGAACACCAGGGAAUGAAGUUAGAAGCUCAAAUCUCAACUUUUGGAUUCAUAUGGGAUUGUUAAUGAUAUUUCAACUGAACUUAAUUAUUUUCACACAA
rnacentral:lncRNA from 1 species